AUGAUUUUGGUUGUUGUAUUUUUUCAUGUGAUUCCUUACAUCCGUUAUAACAAUCUGAAUCCCACCAUUCGUCAAGCAACAGAGUUAUAGAUAUUUAUUUCUGAACCGAGUCUGUCCUCCAUAGUUUUUUCUGAUGUGAAGAGCUUCUUUCAGACUCCUUCCCCUACAAGGAACUAUUGAAUGGGUUCCUAUGAGAAGUUGAAGGAAAAGUAUAUCUUGCAC
rnacentral:lncRNA from 1 species